GGUUGCUCUAAAGAUGUUGGAAAUAAUGGGCGCUACAGAUGUGUAUUAUAUCGGUUGAUAAAAACUGAGAUUUAAGCAAUUUCUUAUUGUACUACAAUCAGAAAUUCCAACUGCAAAAACAGAAUUAUUUUUGGAUUAGGAAGAUGUUGAUACUGAUAGACUGAUAGGCAUUGUAUUGUCGGUAAAGUAUCCGUGUCUCCUGAAUCUGACACAUUUUUCUAUAUUGUAUUAAUAGUUAUAUAGUGACAACAUAUUUGGCAGUGCUAUACAAUUAUACACCGGGAUAUAAAAUAACAAGUAAUGUAGGCAGUAGCAAGAGGUGUAGAAGCUUACAGUCUAU